UUUCCACCAGCCCCUUCUCCACCCUCCACCCCUCAUUUUUCCCUCAAUAUUUAAUCUUCCUCUGUUCAAUUUGGAGCAUUUCCCAGCUUUUCCCAACACAGAGAAGGAACAAACCCUCGGUGGGGGGUUCAACCCCCCCAGAUACUCCCAGUGGUGAACCCAGCCUCGAGUUUUGCAGCAUGUCAGGGACUAAUACUGCCACCUACCGAGACAGACCUCCUGUCAUUAAACCUCUUAUUUCUGUUUUCCCCACCCAAAAGUGCUUCCCACGUUUUUUGGGAACACACGAGGCCUCUCAAACCAACUCUCUUCUCUCUGGAAUCCAGGUGCGCUUUGGUGCCGGGCCCCCAAACGUCCUUCGGCGUGUUUUUGGGGGGCCUUUUUUGGGCUCAGGGCUUUGUGGAUACCAGGUUGGGAUGGCGACUGGGGACAACAGAGGCGCAGCACGGGAUCAGGAUUUUGUGGGUACCAGGCUGAGAUGGUGGAUGGAGAGACUGAGGCACAGCCAGAGCUCAUCAGGCCCCGACGGCUCCCACCUGCGCCUGGUUUGGUCCCGGGUAUUUAAGGCCCUUUUUCAGCAGCUUUCUCCCCUUUUGAGAGCCACCUCAGUGGGUGUAACUUUGGUCCUUUUGUGGGAUGGGGGAGCCCAGCCGAGCUGGAGAGUGGCCGGAGGUCCCAGAGCCCGCGGGGGCCCUGCAGCCCACGCCGCCCCCCGAGAUGCUGGAGAGGCUCCUGGGCCAGCGCUUCGGGCCCCUGCCCCGGCCGGCCACCAUCGCCCGCCUGCGGCGCGGCCCUCAGGGCGGCUACGAGCCCACCGGGGACCCCGCCGAGGUGCUGGAGCGGCGGCAGGCAGCCAACGCCAAGGAGAGGGAGAGGAUCCGAAAUCUCAACAGUGGCUUCUCCCAGCUGCGGACCCUGGUGCCGCUGAUGCCGCGGGACCGCCGGCCCAGCAAGGCUGA
rnacentral:lncRNA from 1 species